GUAGAUUCUCCAUGGGGAAUUCUGAAAUGCAGGAGACACACACAGAGAACAAAAAAGAAAAAGCAGGUGAAGAAAGGAGAUUCUGCACCUCAAGCAGGACUUUCUCUGCCUCCUUAUGGAGCAAAACAGACCCAGUCCUUUCCCCAAUAUUUAAGCCCCAUUGCACACCCCUGCCCCAAAGGAUUAAAGGAUGGUUCACUGGAGAAGGAAACGGCAACCCACUCCAGUAUUCAUGCCUGGAAAAUCCCAUGGACCGAGGAGCCUGGUGGGCUACACUCCAUGGGGUCGCAGAGUCGGACAUGACCGAGCGACUUGUGUGUGUGUGUGUGUGUGUGUUAAAAAAAAAAAAAAAAAAGGAUGGUUCAGAGUAUUGACAGCCCUGAGUGACCCCUACCCUGUGCCAAGCAGUUGGGACCUUGAGUCAGAUGAAUCCAGAUCACAGAAACAUUUGAGAAUCAGUUUCCAGAAUGUGGGGUGGGAAGAGGGUUCAUCUUGCCUCCGUUGGAGUGAAAGUGUUAGUUGCUCAGUUGUGUCUGACUCUUUGCAACCCCAUGGACUGUACCCAGAAGGCUCCUCUGUCUGUGAAUUCUCCAGGCAAGAAUGCUGGAGCAGGUUGCCAUUUCCUUCUCCAGGGGAUCUUCUCGACCCAGGGACUGAACCGCAGUCUCCUGCUUUGGCAGGGGGAUUCUUUACCAUCUGGGCCACCAGGGAGGCCUGUUGGGUUGAGAUGCUCCCUUGGUCUUUUUCCACCCCUCUCUAUCCCACUACCCCAUCUGUAACUCCGGUUUGUUCAUGCACAGGAGGGAGAACUCUGACCACUCCACUCCCAUAUAGUACUCCGAGAAAGCUGAGGCCCACAUGGGCCCAAGGAAAGGACUCAUUUUUUCCACAUGCCCUGGCACAUGAGGACCCAGAAGCUACAGGAAAGGUGCCUGAGGAAGCGGCAGGCUUCGAUCCAUGGAACUGGAUCGAAGACUGGAGGCUGUGUGACCAGAACCUGCUCAAGGAAGAUGUCAGGAGCAUCUCUGAGUUAGCCUCCAGGGCAACAAAUUAUACUCAGCCCACCUACUCAGGACACACUGACCUGGCUGGUGCGGAGAAGUUCUGCCCCUUGCCCCUGCACCCAAGGAUGGAUAUAAAGACAGGAUGGGAAAGAAAAGAAGAAUGGCUGCUUCAUCAGAGGGAGAGCAGCACGAUGGGGUGAAGGCCUGCCUAGCAGGCCCUGCCUACACCUUUCUUACCAGUGCCUGGCAUGUGCUAGAUGCUCCAUCAAUGUUUGUUGAAUUAAAUUGACUUGAAUGAAACACCCCUACAUAUUUUUUAGUGCUUGUUAGAGAUUGAUAGUUCUCUCUUUAAAUCAUUCCCUUUUCUAUGUUUAUAGAAUUCCCACUUUUUUGAGCACGUGACUACUCAGAUUAAAAACUGCUUUUCUUAGUCAUCCUGAAAACAAUACGUAUUGACCAAGAUUUGCCCAAUGAGGUGUAAAUGGCAGUAUCCACCUGGAAGCCUCCAGGAACUUCCAAAGAAGACAGCUAGGCAUAUCCUGUGUUGUCCUCCUUCCCACUAGCUGAAUGUGUGUGUGAUGGCUGGACCUGGGCAGCCAUGUUGGACCAGAAAGUGAUCGUGUGAAAUGAGACCGCGUAAAGCAGGAGAAGAGUUCUGGGUGCGUGAGGACCUUGUGGAGUUGUGGAGCCACACCUCCAGUUCUACACUGUCUCCUCGCAGGGUUUUAUAGGAAAGAGAAAUACUUUUCUGUCUUGUUUAAGUCACUGAUAUUUUGUCUGUUACUCCAAAGUGCUGCACAAUGUCUUUGAUGCCUAGAAAUCCUCAGUAGUGUUUACUGAAUGAAUAAAUGCCACAGCAAUAAUGUUCA
rnacentral:lncRNA from 1 species